GAAAGACGUUAGCUCAGUUUAGAGUUUAGUUUACUAAAGAAAGAGACCUGAAAACUGUUGGAUGUGGUUUUAAAAGCUGAAACAAAGCGACAAAGACACGCUUUGUUUUCUCUCUACGACCGGAAACACGUCACUGCUCCUGUUGACCGUGCUAAGCUAACGUUUACCGCAGUUAGCUUCUGCUCACACGGUUGAUUUCAGGUGUUUUGGGAGAACUUGAGGAUGAUGAGUUUUGACUUCAGUAGAGCGACCUGAGAGACUCUUCAACACUGAGACCAGCAGGAUGUCCGAUGCCAACACAGUUGACAGACAGUUGCCAGCUGAAUAUUUGGGUCCGGCCCUGAUGUCCCCCCUCUGGACCUGCACGCUGAGGCCUCCUGGAUUUCAGGGAUGUGUUCUUCAACACGUUCACUAUCAUCACGUAAAUCCUGCGAGGGCGGAGAGACGCUGAUAGACGGACCCGAGUCUGUUUCACUCAUUGCCAUGGAAACGUUUGAGCAAUACUACAGCGGUGUCCAGAGUGAUCAAACCUGAAUCAGCUCCAUGUUGUUUCAUUGAAGACUGCCUCCCUUCUCGAUGGGGCGAUGUUGAUUCAUUUUCAUUGUCAAAUCCGAGAGAGACUGAUGCCACGCUGAGGUCAAAACAGACUUCAGACACCAGCAGAGAGAAAACACCUGACUCAGGAUCUCAAGAAACGUACCCCACAGACAGAAAUGUGUUUUCCCAAAGUAAAAUGUGAUGUUCCAGAAGGGAACGCCAGCCGUGCAGAAAGGUUCAAGACUAAAGGCCGAUAACUCCGGAC